rnacentral:rRNA from 1 species
GCCAGCCUGAGAUGUGAUGCCGAGCCGAUUGUGGUGAAGUGGAUGAUCCUAUGCUGCCGAGAAAAGCCUCUAGUGAGUGUUGUGGCGGCCCGUACCCUAAACCGACUCAGGUGGUCAGGUAGAGAAUACCAAGGCGAUCGGGUGAACUGUGGUUAAGGAACUCGGCAAAUUGCCCCCGUAACUUCGGGAGAAGGGGGACCUCUGCUGGUGAUGGGCUUUACGUUCUGAGCUGGUGGGGGUCGCAGUGGCCAGGGGGAAGCGACUGUUUACUAAAAACACAGGUCCGUGCGAAGUCGUAAGACGAUGUAUACGGACUGACGCCUGCCCGGUGCCGGAACGUUAAGGGGACCGCUUAGCCAACGCGAGUUGGCGAAGGUGAGAACUUAAGCGCCGGUAAACGGCGGUGGUAACUAUAACCAUCCUAAGGUAGCGAAAUUCCUUGUCGGGUAAGUUCCGACCUGCACGAAUGGCGUAACGACUUCCCCGCUGUCUCAACCACAGACCCGGCGAAAUUGCACUACGAGUAAAGAUGCUCGUUUCGCGCAGCAGGACGGAAAGACCCCGGGACCUUCACUACAGCUUGACAUUGGCGUUUGGAACGUCUUGUGUAGGAUAGGUGGGAGACUGGGAAGCUGUCACGCUAGUGAUGGUGGAGUCAUUGGUGAAAUACCACUCUGGUCGUUUUGAACGUCUAACUCUGGUCCGUGAUCCGGAUCGGGGACAGUGUCUGGUGGGUAGUUUAACUGGGGCGGUUGCCUCCUAAAGAGUAACGGAGGCGCCCAAAGGUUCCCUCAGCCUGGUUGGCAAUCAGGUGUUGAUUGUAAGUGCACAAGGGAGCUUGACUGUGAGACUGACAGGUCGAGCAGGAGCGAAAGCUGGGACUAGUGAUCCGGCAUCGGCGUGUGGAAGCGGUGUCGCUCAACGGCUAAAAGGUACCCCGGGGAUAACAGGCUGAUCUUCCCCAAGAGUCCAUAUCGACGGGAUGGUUUGGCACCUCGAUGUCGGCUCGUCGCAUCCUGGGGCUGGAGUAGGUCCCAAGGGUUGGGCUGUUCGCCCAUUAAAGCGGUACGCGAGCUGGGUUUAGAACGUCGCGAGACAGUUCGGUCCCUAUCCGCUGCGCGCGCAGGAGACUUGAAGGGGGCUGUCCCUAGUACGAGAGGACCGGGACGGACGAACCUCUGGUGUGCCAGUUGUACCGCCAGGUGCACGGCUGGUUGGCUACGUUCGGAAGGGAUAACCGCUGAAAGCAUCUAAGCGGGAAGCUCGCCUUGAGGUGAGGUCUCCCACCCCGUGAGGGGGUAAGGCUCCCGGUAGAUCACCGGGUUGAUAGGCCGGAGGUGGAAGCACGGUAACGUGUGGAGCUGACCGGUACUAAUAGGCCGAGGACUUGACCAC